UGUGUAUAUUUGUGUUUGUGUAUGUCCAUGUGUGUAUAUGAGCAUACACACACACACAGACACACACACACGGACACACACACA
rnacentral:miRNA from 14 species